GAUGAACGCUAGCUACAGGCUUAACACAUGCAAGUCGAGGGGAAACGACAUCGAAAGCUUGCUUUUGAUGGGCGUCGACCGGCGCACGGGUGAGUAACGCGUAUCCAACCUGCCCACCACUUGGGGAUAACCUUGCGAAAGUAAGACUAAUACCCAAUGAUAUCUCUAGAAGACAUCUGAAAGAGAUUAAAGAUUUAUCGGUGAUGGAUGGGGAUGCGUCUGAUUAGCUUGUUGGCGGGGUAACGGCCCACCAAGGCAACGAUCAGUAGGGGUUCUGAGAGGAAGGUCCCCCACAUUGGAACUGAGACCCGGUCCAAACUCCUACGGGAGGCAGCAGUGAGGAAUAUUGGUCAAUGGACGAGAGUCUGAACCAGCCAAGUAGCGUGCAGGAAGACGGCCCUAUGGGUUGUAAACUGCUUUUAUAAGGGAAUAAAGUGAGUCUCGGGAGACUUUUUGCAUGUACCUUAUGAAUAAGGACCGGCUAAUUCCGUG
rnacentral:rRNA from 1 species